GAAUGGCGAACAGUGCAGAUCAAGAUCAGACUGCACAGAUGUGCAGGCUGAUCAUGAUCUACACUUGUCGCAAAGGUAGGACCAACCAUGUACAGCAUAAUAAGGGUUAAAACUGCUUGAGCCAUUCAGCUGAAAUUGCAAACAUUUGUUGCUUAUAUUGAUUGGAUAUAUGUAAUUUGCCCCAAAACACUUUAUAAAACUGAACUGAAUUAAAAUAAGGUGAGAGAGAAGAAAAAGCUUAAUUAUUAAAAAAACAACAACAAUAUAGCCGAUAGAUAUACAUUGUUGAAGGGAUUAUCUUUGUUUACAUUUUAUUUAAAUGUGGCUGCCACGUUGUUUGUUAGGAACAUAACACACAUUAAUUUCUUGUUUUCGAAUUUUAAAUAUGGCAUUUAUGUGUCAAAGAUUGGCAUAGGUGAAAAUGUUACUGAAAAUAUUAAAUCAGUUUUUAUUGAUUAACUCCCUUUUUGGCUUGGGUAGUAUAAAGUCAUGUGCAUCAUUGAAAGUAUAUGUAGUACUUUUCUAACCAACUGAUAAACAUUCUAUUUUUGGAAAGUUUGUUGCAUAAAGUUAAAGGAGGUUUUUUUUGGUAUGAAAUUUACAUGGUGUAGGCCUUUAAACUGUUUACUUUAAAAACCACCUUGUAUUUUUGAUAAUUUCUUAUGUAAUUAAGUCAUUUCUAAUGUUUUCUCUUUUAAUUGACCCUGAGUGGCAGUUCUUGUUAACUACAAAACCAUCUUUUAUUAUUGGUUAACUAAUUAUUGGAAUAGUGAGCAUUUUAACAUUGUUUCAUCACAAUGCACUCCUUUAUGGGAAUAGGGAGGCAAUAGCACAUUUAACUAUUAAACUGUCAUUUGAAUGAAAACAGCCUUAGACACACCUGAAAAUCAGAUAAAUUUGAAAAUACAUGCAAAGUUUUAAAAAUGUUUUUGGAUUUAAGUUAUAACAUUUUCUUAUUUUUAUCUUCAGUUGGUUAUAAAUGCAACUGAUUGUUUUUAUCAACAUCUGUUGUCAGGUGUGUUUCGUCCCAAUUUAAUUUUGUGACCCAUACAGUUUUUCCAGGACUCAUCAGUGAGAGAAACACCAUCAACUUGAGUCAACAACAUAACUUUUAACAUGUGAACAGAAGUUAAUUAUAAACAUUUUCAUAGGAAGAAUAGUGAACUGGAACAGUAAAUGAAAAUUUAAAAGAAAUGAAAACCUGUACACUUUGGCAUUUCAUAGUUUUUUU
rnacentral:lncRNA from 1 species